rnacentral:rRNA from 1 species
GAUGAACGCUGGCGGCGUGCCUAAUACAUGCAAGUCGAGCGAACGGACGAGAAGCUUGCUUUUCUGAUGUUAGCGGCGGACGGGUGAGUAACACGUGGAUAACCUACCUAUAAGACUGGGAUAACUUCGGGAAACCGGAGCUAAUACCGGAUAAUAUUUUGAACCGCAUGGUUCAUAAGUGAAAGACGGUCUUGCUGUCACUUAUAGAUGGAUCCGCGCUGCAUUAGCUAGUUGGUAAGGUAACGGCUUACCAAGGCAACGAUGCAUAGCCGACCUGGGAGGGUGAUCGGCCACACUGGAACUGAAACCCGGUCCAGACUCCUACGGGAGGCAGCAGUAGGGAAUCUUCCGCAAUGGGCGAAAGCCUGACGGAGCAACGCCGCGUGAGUGAUGAAGGUCUUCGGAUCGUAAAACUCUGUUAUUAGGGAAGAACAUAUGUGUAAGUAACUGUGCACAUCUUGACGGUACCUAAUCAGAAAGCCACGGCUAACUACGUG